rnacentral:rRNA from 1 species
GACGAACCGUGCGAACGUUGUUCGGAUUCACUGGGCUUAAAGGGCGCGUAGGCGGGCCUUCAAGUCAGGGGUGAAAUCCUCCGGCCUAACCGGAGAACAGCCCCUGAUACUGAGGGCCUCGAGGGAGGUAGGGGUCGAUGGAACUUCCGGUGGAGCGGUGAAAUGCGUAGAUAUCGGAAGGAACGCCGGUGGCGAAAGCGAUCGACUGGACCUCUUCUGACGCUGAGGCGCGAAAGCCAGGGGAGCGAACGGGAUUAGAUACCCCGGUAGUCCUGGCCCUAAACGAUGGGUACUAGGUUGUGGACUUGACAUGGGUUCACAGCCGAAGCAAAAGUGAUAAGUACCCCGCCUGGGGAGUAUGGUCGCAAGGCUGAA